rnacentral:rRNA from 1 species
AUGGCGUGCUGCUUUGCUGCAAGAGGUAAUGGCACGGCAGGUCCUUCAACUUGUCUUGUAUGUGAUGGUUUGGUCCUCAAACUUGCAAAAGUAAAUUAUUUGGUCCUCCAACUUGUUCUCAAGGUGCAUAUUUGGUCCUGGCCCAAUCAGCAACAGCCAAGUGGAGCCAGCUGGGCUGAGCCGGUCAGCUUCGCACCUUUUGCAUUUAGCCCCUGCCGUUUAACGGAAUUAACUCGCGGGACACCACAUGGCGCCAAUGCCCGGCACCGCGGCGAGCUUGGCCGGCACGGUGCCGGAGAGGCGGUUGUGGUCUACCGCGAGGAACGACAGCCUGGGCAUCGCCGCAAUGGACUCCGGGAUGGUGCCCGCGAGGCGCACGUUGGACAGAUCGUGUCCCCGGCCAGGGAGCGCUACCCCGCCGGCGAACGCCUGUCUUCCAACCUCGCCGUAUCCUUCUUCUCCCACCAGGCCUCCCCAGCCAUGGCAGCUACAGGGCUGAACGCGUACGCGCGGCCAUACAGCCGCCGCUCCGCCCGCGCCCACCUCACUCCGCUAAAGCCCCAUCCUUCCACGAUGCUGGGGUACCACGGCCACGCCGGCUACCCGCCGCCUUCCCCGUUCGCCGCCAAUUACUCCCGCGCCACCUUCCCCGAGCACCACUACCCCGGGGCCCUCCCGCCGCGGCCUUUCUUCCGUGAGCACGUCGCCGCGCCGCGUUACGACCGUCGCCCGCGCGGGGUCAUGUUCGAUCCUGAGAAGAUGUACGCGCAGGUGAUGCACAGCUUCAGCUACAAGCAUAAGGGGCGAGCGGCCGCGGCCGGGAAGGGCAAGGGAGGACCCGUGACUCGCCCUCUGUUGCCGGCGGCACCGCCGUGCGGGCUGCGGGGGCAGCGGGCCAGGGGCAGGAGAAAGGUGUACGUGCCGGCCGCGCACGCCGGAGGUCGCCGUCGCAGUCGCUCACGAGGCGGAGGGCGUGGCCGGUGCCCCCGCCGGCCUGGGCCUGGUACGGCCGCAGCCGCACGACCGUGCGCGCCUCGAUGA